GAUGCUGGCUGCACAGAAAAAGUGUUGUUCACCACCAGGAGGAAGGAGGGAAACAAGAAGACCUGAGGAUCAGGUGGUACACCACUUCAGUGUUCAGGUGGCACAAACAAACACUAGAAGAAAAUAAUCAUCACCAGCCUGGGAAACAUGGCAAAAUCCAAUCUCUACAAAAAAUAACAACAACAAAAGAAAACCACACACACACAAAAGUAAAUUAGCCAGGCAUGGUGGCAUGCACCUGUAAUCCCAGCUGCUUGAGAGGCUGAGGUGGGAGGAUUCAUUGAACCCAGGAGAUUGAGGUU
rnacentral:lncRNA from 1 species